AUGUCGUCGUCGAUGAAGCCAAUGUCGGCGCUGCUGUCCACCCUGCGCCGGGCCGGCCGGCAGCACCUCACGGCGUCCACCGUCGGCGCGAGGCCGCGCGUCAUCGGCUCCCACGUCCUCCGAAUCCACGGCUACACGCACGUGAAGCAGACGGUCCCCAACGGCGAGGCGGUGGAGUCAGCCACGUUCCACGUCGGCGGCCGCGCCUGCCGGAUCAAGUGCUAUCCGAACGGCAGCGGCAAGAAACACUACGGCUACACGUCCCUCUUCCUCACCAGCCUCCACGACGCCGGCACGGUGGGCCUCCAGCUCAGCCUGCUCGACCGGGACGGGAGGCCGUCGCUCACCCGAGCCACGGAACAACGACGCUUCUGGAUCGGCGACAGCGCGGGCUGGGGUUGGAAAGAUUUCGUCAAGAACGACGAUCUGGUCGAGGGAGAGCACCUCGUGGACGACUGCCUCACGGUCCUCUGCGCCGUCACCGUCCACGACCCUUCCUUGCACGCCGAGGAGGUUGCCGCGCCGGCAGCGGCCGAGCCGUUCGACCUACGUGGGGAGCUCGGGGAGACCAUGUGGAACGAGACGGACGUGACGAUCCACGUCGGCGACGAGACGUUCCCGGCGCACCGGUCGGUGCUGGAGGCUGCGUCCCCCGUCUUCAAGGCGGACCUCGAGAACAACGCCACCGGCAAGGUACGCGUCGACGACAUGGACGCCCCGGUGUUCAAGACCCUGCUCCAGUUCAUGUACACGGGCUCGCUGCCUGACAAGAACCAGCUCGUGGCGGCGGACAGGUACGCGCUGGAGAAGAUAAAAGCCGUCUGCGAGGAGGCGCUGUGCCCGCGCGUCGACAUGGGCUCCGUGGGCGCCAUGCUGGCGUUGGCGGAGCGGCAUGGAUGUGCCGUCCUGAAGAAGGCGUGCAUGGAGUUCCUCUCAAUUCCCGGUAACCUAUUGAAAACGGUCCCGAACGGCACGGCGGUCGAGUCACCCGCGUUCGACGUCGGCGGCCACCGCUGGAAUGUACAGUGCUACCCGAACGGCGACCGCAAAGAGGCCGACGGCUCCACGUCCAUCUUCCUUACCAGCCUCGGCGACGCGACGGCAGAGUUCAAGCUUAGCGUGCUCGACCACGACGGGGAGCCCUCGGUCAAUGGAGCCGUGCAGCAGCAACGCUACUCGGCUAAUCGCUACUGGGGCUGGAUAAAGUUCCUCGACAAGGAAAAUCCCAACCAUAAUAAGCAUCUCGAGGAUGAUUGCCUCACGGUCCUUUGCGACGUCACCGUCGACCCCGGGCUGCGCGCGGAAGCCGAGGUGGCGGCGGCGCCGCCGUUCGACCUGCGCGGGCAGCUUGCGGAAGCCCUCUGGAACAAGCACCCAGCCGACGUGACGGUCCAUGUCGGCGGCGAGACCUUCGCCGCGCACCGGUGGGUGCUGGAGGCCCGGUCCCCCGUCUUCAGAGCGGACCUCGAGGGCAACGCCACCGGCGAGCUACGGGUCGACGACAUGGACGCGGAGGUGUUCAAGACCCUGCUCCAGUUCAUGUACACGGACAGCGCGCCGAAGCUCGAUACAAUGCCGGACAACCAACUUCCUGACAUGAUGAACCAGCAACUCGAUCAGGCCGAGACAACGUCGACGGCGGAGCGGCUGCUCGUGGCGGCGGACAGGCACGGGCUGGAGGACCUGAAGCGCGCCUGCGAGAAGGCGCUGCGGCCGCGCGUGGACAUGGGCUCUGUGGCCGCCAUGCUGGCGCUGGCUGAGCGGCAUGGCUGCGCCGUGCUCAAGGAGGCGUGCAUGGAGUUCCUCCAUUGUCCCGGUAAUCUGAAAUCAUUCAUGGCGACCGAUGGAUUUGAGCAGCUCAGGACAAGCUGCCCUGCUGCGGCGCUGGAGCUCGUCAUCAAACAGUUGCCGUGA
rnacentral:rRNA from 1 species